GACGAACGCUGGCGGCGUGCUUAACACAUGCAAGUCGAACGGAAAGGCCCUGCUUUUGUGGGGUGAUCGAGUGGCGAACGGGUGCGUAACACGUGUGUAACCUGCUCUUGUCUUUGGGAUAACUUCAGGAAACUGGGGCUAAUACCGGAUAGGAGAUCAUGCUGCAUGGUGGGGGUUGGAACGUGUCGGCGGUCGGGGAUGGACGCGCGGCUUAUCAGCUUGAUGGUGGGGUGGUGGCUUACCAAGGCUUUGACGGGUAGCCGGCCUGUGAGGGUGACCGGCCACAGAGGGACUGAGAUACGGCCCAGGCGCAUACGGGAGGCAGGAGUGGAGAAUAUUGCACAAUGUGCGGAAGCGGUAUGCAGGAACGCCGCGUGCGGGAUGACGGCCGUCGGGUAAGAAACCGCUUUCGCCUGUGACGAGGCGUGAGGAACGGUAAUGAGGAAAGAAGCACCGGCUAACUACGG
rnacentral:rRNA from 1 species